GGGGGUAUAGCUCAGCUGGGAGAGCGCCUGGUUCGCAAUCAGGAGGUCAAGGGUUCAAAUCCCUUUACCUCCACCA
rnacentral:tRNA from 1 species